UAGAGUUUGAUCAUGGCUCAGAUUGAACGCUGGCGGCAGGCCUAACACAUGCAAGUCGAGCGGAAACGAGAAUAGCUUGCUAUUCGGCGUCGAGCGGCGGACGGGUGAGUAAUGCCUGGGAAUAUGCCCUGAUGUGGGGGAUAACUAUUGGAAACGAUAGCUAAUACCGCAUAAUCUCUUCGGAGUAAAGAGGGGGACCUUCGGGCCUCUCGCGUCAGGAUUAGCCCAGGUGGGAUUAGCUUGUUGGUGGGGUAAAGGCUCACCAAGGCAACGAUCCCUAGCUGGUCUGAGAGGAUGAUCAGCCACACUGGAACUGAGACACGGUCCAGACUCCUACGGGAGGCAGCAGUGGGGAAUAUUGCACAAUGGGGGAAACCCUGAUGCAGCCAUGCCGCGUGUAUGAAGAAGGCCUACGGGUUGUAAAGCACUUUCAGUUGUGAGGAAAGGGGUGUAGUUAAUAACUGCGCUCUGUGACGUUAACAACAGAAGAAGCACCGGCUAACUUCGUGCCAGCAGCCGCGGUAAUACGAGGGGUGCAAGCGUUAAUCGGAAUUACUGGGCGUAAAGCGUUCGUAGGCGGUUUGUUAAGCAAGAUGUGAAAGCCCAGGGCUCAACCUUGGAACCGCAUUUUGAACUGGCAAACUAGAGUACUGUAGAGGGGGGUAGAAUUUCA
rnacentral:rRNA from 1 species